rnacentral:lncRNA from 1 species
UGGUGGUCCUUAUUACAGCAGGAGUAAGACCACAUGGCUAUGGAACAAGAGACAACUGCUGGCUCUCGAGGAACUAUGGGGUGAUAUGGAGCUACGCUGGACCCGUUGCAUUUGUUCUCACGGUAAACUUCGCCGUGCUCGUGUUCACCAUUCGCACCACGUGCCGCCUCUCGAAGCAGACGACGUCGAGAGCGCGUCUGGAA